rnacentral:rRNA from 1 species
AAAAUCAGGGGCUCAACCCCUGACCUGCAUCCGAUACGGUCGAGCUAGAGUUUGGUAGGGGAGACUGGAAUUCCUGGUGUAGCGGUGGAAUGCGCAGAUAUCAGGAGGAACACCGAUGGCGAAGGCAGGUCUCUGGGCCAAUACUGACACUGAGGAGCGAAACUGGGGGAGCGAACAGGAUUAGAUACCCUGGUAGUCCACGCCGUAAACGGUGGGCGCUAGUUGUGCGAACCUUCCUCGGUUUGUGCGACGCAGCUAACGCAUUAAGCGCCCCGCCUGGGAGUACGAUCGCAAGAUUAAAACUCAAAGGAAUUGACGGG